CCAGAGAACUUAGCAGAGAUGCUUUGGUGCCUUGGGAACUCNGAGACAGGUGCUGCAUGGCUGUCGUCAGCUCGUGUUGUGAAAUGUUGGGUUAAGUCCCGCAACGAGCGCAACCCUUAUCCUUUGUUGCCAGCGGCUCGGCCGGGAACUCAAAGGAGACUGCCGGUGAUAAACCGGAGGAAGGUGGGGAUGACGUCAAGUCAUCAUGGCCCUUACGGCCAGGGCUACACACGUGCUACAAUGGCGCAUACAAAGAGAAGCGACCUCGCGAGAGCAAGCGGACCUCAUAAAGUGCGUCGUAGUCCGGAUUGGAGUCUGCAACUCGACUCCAUGAAGUCGGAAUCGCUAGUAAUCGUAGAUCAGAAUGCUACGGUGAAUACGUUCCCGGGCCUUGUACACACCGCCCGUCACACCAUGGGAGUGGGUUGCAAAAGAAGUAGGUAGCUUAACCUUCGGGAGGGCGCUUACCACUUUGUGAUUCAUGACUGGGGUGAAGUCGUAACAAGGUAGGCGUAGCGAG
rnacentral:rRNA from 1 species